GACGUAGGGCGCGAGCGUGUCCGGAUUUAUUGGGCGUAAAGAGCUCGUAGGCGGCUUGUCGCGUCGAAUGUGAAAACCCACAGCUCAACUGUGGGCGUGCGGGCGAUACGGGCAGACUAGAGUACUGCAGGGGAGACUGGAAUUCCUGGUGUAGCGGUGGAAUGCGCAGAUAUCAGGAGGAACACCGGUGGCGAAGGCGGGGUCUCUGGGCAGUAACUGACGCUGAGGAGCGAAAGCGUGGGGGAGCGAACAGG
rnacentral:rRNA from 1 species